GUUUAUAAUGCUUUUGUUUUGUUUUUCACACAUUCAACUAAGUAAUUUUGUAUUAGACUAACUAAAUUUAGCUAAAAAAUAUUUUAACAACUUUUACACGUAAUUUGCUGCCAGCAGCAAUUUUAUAAAUUCUACACACGCACAUGAGUUUACAUACAAAUAUAUAGUACAGCGAUUAAUCGAUCGUUUACAAACGCUACAAGCUUGAUGCUCUUUCGUCACAAAAAAUUUCGUGUUUUCUCGAAAUCGUUCAAAAUUACUUUUUGGUUUAUUGACUUUUCACACAAAGUCCUUUAAAAUGGUGCCUUCGUUUCACAUUUUUAUUGUUACAUACAAAUUUGGCUGCUACAAAAAAUCGGUUGAUAAAUGCGUUAGCUGUUGAAUGCAUAUCCAUGCAGAUUGUUUGGACACUUUAUUGUUCGCAAAUCAAAUUAAUUUCUGAUCAAUAUUUCUUAAAACACUCAGUCGAAAACUUAGCGAAGCGUUUCAAGCACCUUUGCAUUACAGCUACGACGACAAACAUUUGUAUAUACCUAAACAAAAUUCUCGACUUAAGUAUGUAUGUAUACUUGCUAGCCAAUGCAUUUUGCAUUAUUUGGGUAACUUUUCAUUAAAAUAAGCAACGCUUAAAACACGCAGUCCUCAUGGCGCAAAAUGAGGCAUUUCUCGGCAUCACAGCUGUAAAACAUUUGAAUCGGAAGAUGC